AUGGCGACUCGCCUUGCCCCCCACAUGUCAGCGCUCGUCUCCAACACGCAAAGUGCAUUUAUCAAGAAGAGGACCAUCCAUGAUAACUUUAUGUACGUUCGCAACUUGGCACACCGUCUCCACCGAAACAAAUCUCCAACCUUGCUCUUCAAGUUAGAUAUCAAAAAAGUGUUUGACUCGGUCAGAUGGGACUACUUGAUGGACUUGCUGAGACACCAUCACUUUCCAAGCUGA
rnacentral:rRNA from 1 species